rnacentral:lncRNA from 1 species
GCCCCCUUCAGCGGCGUUGCGCCGCUCUACGCGCGCCGCCAUCUUGAGGCGGCUGCGGGCUGGUUCCCGCGGCACGUGACGGGGGAGUCAGGGUGGCGGGGAGGCGCAUGCGCAGUUCUGUGCCCUGCUCUGAGGGGGGUUGGGGGGGGCGCUGCUCUCGGAGGGGGUGAAACCUCCGUUUGUGUUUACGGAUGUGCGGCGGCACUGUGGGGUUCCUCCGUGUUCGUCCCAGAGAGGCGAGCCUUGGCGUGUUUCUGCUCCCUGUCCAUCAGUAAUCUGACCCAGCCCGUAGCUCACAGAAGGCCUCGGUGCAUUCAGUGAGAGCUUCCAGAUGGCCCCUACUUCUGGAGAACAUCUGGAGCUGCCGUGAGAUAGCAGCUUUUCAACUGAGAUUACAGAGAGGAGAAAGCUGAAUGCCCAUCACUGCCCAGCUCAAAGCCUAAGAUGACAAGGGGAUGGCUGAAAACAGCUCUGGAACCUCUGGAACUGAAAUACACGUUUGGUAAUAUCUGAUUCAAGAUUGGCUGACAGGAUGACAGCAGCCUGCUGACAGAGCAGCUACAGCCUCCUGCCUUGGAGAUGAUGGAUAGUUUGUGGACAUGACGGAUAGUUUGUGGAGAUGACAGAGCAGUAGUAUGAUGAGAACUGAUGGAUGAGAGCAGCAAGUAUCUGGCUUCAGAGAAACUAGACAGGCUUUCCCCAAGGGCUGAAGGAGGAUGGUUAGAAGGGACAGUCCUGUGAUUCUCUGGCUAUGGGGACAAAAAGAGACUUGGAACAACUCAGACUUCCUUAUCUGCCUGUUCUGUCCCCUUUACUGCUUCUCUCAAAUGAUUUGGGGGCCAUGCAUUGCAAAUUAAGCUAAUGUUGUGUUCCAGGCUAAGAAUAAUCUCCCCAGACAAGGAAAAAGGACAAGAAAACAGGGACAAGAACAGUGUCCUAAUGUACUUUUUUCAGUUCCCAUCACAGUAACCCUCUGUCGUCUCUUGGCAUCAUCUUAACUCUCAUCCUGUAGGUCCUGGUGAGGUACGUCCCUCAAGUACAGGUGCAGAGGUGUCUCACCAGUGAGCCUGCAGGCACAAACCAAACCAUGCUGUUGUCACAACUUUUGAGAUGCUCGCCUUUUCCAGACAGCACAGACCUCUAGUCUGCUUUGGCCUCUCUCAGGUCCCUUAAAGCAUCUCUUGGUGACAUCUGGGACACUGUAAGACAGAGCUGCAGCCAUUUCGGCUCAGCACAGCAGGGACAGCAGAGAUUUCCGUGCCUUUUGCUGAUAGGAGAGCAAACUCAAGGCCAUGCAACCGCAUCUUUCCCACCUC